UACGUAGGGUGCAAGCGUUGUCCGGAAUUAUUGGGCGUAAAGCGCUCGUAGGCGGUUUGUCGCGUCUGCUGUGAAAACUCGGGGCUUAACUCCGGGCCUGCAGUGGGUACGGGCAGACUAGAGUGCGGUAGGGGAGACUGGAAUUCCUGGUGUAGCGGUGAAAUGCGCAGAUAUCAGGAGGAACACCGGUGGCGAAGGCGGGUCUCUGGGCCGUAACUGACGCUGAGGAGCGAAAGCGUGGGGAGCGAACAGG
rnacentral:rRNA from 1 species